GUUGAGUGCAGGUGAGAAGCUGCGUUCAGGUUCGAGCCGAGCGAAGCGAGACAGCGUUGCGCUUGCCGCAACGACCCGAAGGGCGAGGGCANAGCCCGAAUCAUCCUGCACGACCCACCA
rnacentral:sRNA from 1 species